GAACGCUGGCGGCGUGUUUUAAGCAUGCAAGUCGAACGAGAAAUAUGCCUUCGGGUGUAUAGACAGUGGCGAACGGGUGAGUAACACGUAGGUGAUCUACCUCCGAGUGGGGGAUAGCUCAUGGAAACAUGGGGUAAUACCGCAUGAAGUCGGAUAUCCGAGGAUAUUUGAUGAAAGGCGCGUAUGUGUCGCUUGGGGAUGAGCCUGCGGUCCAUUAGCUUGUUGGUGGGGUAAUGGCCUACCAAGGCUACGAUGGAUAGCCGGCCUGAGAGGGUGAACGGCCACACUGGGACUGAGACACGGCCCAGACUCCUACGGGAGGCAGCAGCUAAGAAUAGUCCGCAAUGGGGGAAACCCUGACGGUGCGACGCCGCGUGAACGAUGAAGGCCUGACGGUUGUAAAGUUCUUUUCUCGAUGAAGAAUAAGGGGAGGAGUGGAACGCCUCCUCGAUGACGUUAGUCGAGGAAUAAGUCCCGGCCAAUUACGUGCCAGCAGCCGCGGUAAUACGUAAGGGACAAGCGUUGUUCGGAAUCAUUGGGCGUAAAGAGCGCGUAGGCGGUUUUGCAAGCUUGGUGUGAAAGGCUCCGGCCUAACCGGAGUUGUGCGCCGGGAACUGCAAGACUAGAGUUCUUGAGGGGAAGCUGGAAUUCCUGGUGUAGGGGUGAAAUCUGUAGAUAUCAGGAAGAACACCGGUGGCGAAGGCGAGCUUCUAGCAAGUAACUGACGCUGAGGCGCGAAAGCGUGGGGAGCGAACAGGAUUAGAUACCCUGGUAG
rnacentral:rRNA from 1 species